UCUAUUGAGCGGUCUCAAGUA
rnacentral:piRNA from 1 species